rnacentral:rRNA from 1 species
UACGGAGGGGGCAAGCGUUGUUCGGAAUUACUGGGCGUAAAGGGCUCGUAGGCGGCCAACUAAGUCAUACGUGAAAUCCCUCAGCUUAACUGGGGAACUGCGUGUGAUACUGGAUGGCUUGGAUUUGGGAGAGGGAUGCGGAAUUCCAGGUGUAGCGGUGAAAUGCGUAGAUAUCUGGAGGAACACCGGUGGCGAAGGCGGCAUCCUGGACCAAUAUUGACGCUGAGGCGCGAAAGCUAGGGGAGCAAACGGG